UACGUAGGGGCAAGCGUUGUCCGGAUUUAUUGGGCGUAAAGCGCGUGUAGGUGGCCAAGUAGGUCCGCUGUGAAACUUGAGGCUCAACCUCAAGCUGUCGGUGGAACCCUUGGCUAGAGUCCGGAAGAGGAGAGUGGAAUUCCUGGUGUAGCGGUGAAAUGCGCAGAUAUCAGGAGAACACCAAUGGCGAAGGCAGCUCUCUGGGACGGUACUGACACUGAGAC
rnacentral:rRNA from 1 species